GGAGAGUUGGCAGAGUGGUCGAAUGCGCAUCCUUGGAAAGGAUGUAUAUGGGCAACCGUAUCGAGGGUUCGAAUCCCUCACUCUCCGCAA
rnacentral:tRNA from 1 species